AAGAGCAUGGUGUGUGAGCUGAAGGAGGGCUUAGUGGAAAGAAGCCUCCCUGCAAAGCAGCAAAAACAAGCCAAACCAGCACAUGAUCCACACUCUUCGCAAGACAACCUGGUGGACAUCCCUGAGGAUGAUAGACCUACAAAACGUGUGUGUGAUCUGCUUGGAGUGAUGUUCACACGGGAGGAGCUGUCAACACACUCCUGAACUGGAUUAAAGGGAGGCUGUGAAUCAGACUGUGAAUCAGCUUGUCAAUGCCAUUGUUGAGUACACUUUAAAGAAGUUUCCAUCUGCAAACAUUAAUGAGCUAGGAGGGGCAGCAAGAAACAAACUUAACUAUACAAGCUGUCCAGGAAAGGGUAGGUUAAGACAGCAAUUUGUGAUCUAGGGCAGGGUGAUAGAAUAUUUGCCUUCCUAUGGCAUGAGUUUGGGCUGUUUUUUUGCUUUGUAGCCUUGUCAGUCAGUAACUUAAAGGUGCUGUAUAGAUUUUUUUAAUGUAAUGUUUUGUAGAAAAAAGUAAUUUUAUGACUUUGCAUUAUGCUGAUGUAUUAUUUGUUUGUGUGUGUGUAUUUUACAGAUCUUACCACAUUCUAGACGAGGAGUAAAGGAUGUUGGAUACAAUUUCUGAAUUUCUAUAAAUCUGUUUGUAAAAUACGUGUUCUGUGUUUUAUUGUUUUGGUUAUCUCUUUAGUGCAGAUGUUAUUACUUUAAACACAUUUAACAAAAUGUCUAUUACUGGGGUCUGAGCAGAUGGAAUAUGCUAAAUAAUACAACUGUCUUGUAUUUUAUCCCUAUAGUUUCAUUAGUCGGGUUGAUUUUUGCCCUUUUAAUAUUGUUGGUUUGUAUCUGAAAAAUGUUGUGAAUCAGAAAUCAUUCAAUAAAUGUGAUAAGACAACUACAUAAUGUGGUAAUAAAAUAAGUAAAUAAAACUUUUCUGUACCAGAAUUUAGAGUAUCAAAUUGUCAGAUUGUUCUGUUACACAUAAAAAGUGUCAGGUAAGUUUUCAAUCACAUUUUUAUAUUCAAACUGUCUUUUCAACUUGUCUGGUUCAAAUUUAAAUGAACUAUUUCCUUUAAAAGAACAUUAAUGAAUGUAUAUGGUACAUAAUUCUCAUUUUGUUUUUAAAACCUUUUUUCCAGCCUGCUAUAAUGACCUGUCCCGAAUACUCCCAUGAAAAAUGAUAGGACCUGAUGAAAAGUGAGUUCCAUUGGCAAUUCAAGUGCAUUUGUGGUAAGUAAAUUUAUAAAACAAUUAAUUUUUGUCAAAGCAGUUUUAGUAUGACUUCUAGGGGUUAAAUGGAUUGUUGCAAGAUUGAAAGCUUAUAUUUUGCACAUGUUUUGUCUUGCUAGUUUAUACAUUUAAUAGAUUUUAAACCAUUUCAGUGCUAGAAGAGAAUAUAAAAGAGAAUAUAAUUCGGUACUCAUGAGCUGGUAUCAUCUUUCUUUGCUGAAGUCGUUCUUCUGUUGAUUUAGAUGUGUUACGGAUUUUUGUCAUAUUGAAACGUGUAAUUUCUCUUCGCUUGCAGCUUUCUAGCAAACGCUGAUUCAUAACGGUACGAAGCUUCAUGAAGCAGUGUUUUGAAAUCAGCCAUCACUAUACAAGUCGUUAUUUUUUUUUAUUUUUUUUUUGUCGCUCCAAAAAUAUCCUCGUCGCUUUAUAAUAUUAAUAUUGAGCCACUGUACUCACAUGAACUGAUUUAGAUGUGUUUUUAGUACAUUAAUGGAUCUUGAGAGAGGAAAUGUCAUUGCUCCCUACGCAGGCCUCACUGAGCCAUCGGAUUUCAUCAAAAAUAUCUCAAUUUGUGUUCUGAAGAUGAACGAAGGUCUUACGGGUGU